rnacentral:rRNA from 1 species
AACGUAGGUACCGAGCGUUAUCCGGAUUUACUGGGCGUAAAGCGCGUUCAGGCGGUUUGGCAAGUCGGGCGUGAAAUCUCUCGGCUCAACCGGGAGAGGUUGUCCGAUACUGCUAGACUUGAGGGCAGUAGAGGGUGGUGGAAUUCCGGGUGUAGUGGUGAAAUGCGUAGAUAUCCGGAGGAACACCAGUGGCGAAAGCGGCCACCUGGACUGCACCUGACGCUGACACGCGAAAGCUAGGGGAGAGAACGGG